rnacentral:rRNA from 1 species
CCUACGGGUGGCUGCAGUAGGGAAUUUUCGUCAAUGGGCGCAAGCCUGAACGAGCAAUGCCGCGUGAACGAGGAAGGUCUUCGGAUCGUUAAGUACUGUUUACGGGGAAAAAGAGCGGAGAGAGGGAAUGCUUUCUGAUUGAUCUUACCCUUCGAGGAAGUCAAGGCUCACUACGUGCCAGCAGCCGCUGUAAUACGUAGGUGGCGUGCUGUAUCCGGAAUGAUUGGGCGUAAAGGGUGCGUAGUCGGCCUUCUGAGUCUGGAGUGAAAGGUACCGGCUCAAACGGUGCAGGCUCGGGAAACUGGGGGGCGAGAGAGCAGGAGAGGGCGGUGGAACGCAAUGUGUAGCGGUAAAAUGCGUAGAUAUAUGGAAGAAAAUCAGUGGCGAAGGGGGCCGCCUGGCCUGUUAACUGACGCUGAGGCACGAAAGCGUGGGGAGCAAACAGGAUUAGAUACCCUAGUAGUC